AUGAAGUCUAAACAUUUGGGAGUGCCGGAUGAUUGUCCCAGGUGCUGUCGAGGAAUAGAAGACAGCUUUCAUGCUGUUGUGGUGUGCCCUAUCUCCAGCGCUGUUUGGGAUGCUAUGGGGGAAGUCUGGAACAUCCCAGCAAAGGAGGUGAUUAUAAACACAUGCCAUGAAUGGCUCUUUGAUCUGCUAGUUACCCUUGAGGAGGAGGUCCGGGCAAAAAUCUUGAUGAUCAUAUGGAGGAACUGGCAGUUGCGCAAUGAUGCCCUGCAUGACAAGAAUGUAGCGCCGGUUGAGGCCACAAGAGGUUUCUUGCAGAGCUAUAUGGCAUAUCUGAAUCAAAUAAGAUUUGACAAGGGUUAUGAGAUGCUAAAAGGGAAGGGUGUAGUUGAACCUGAUGUAAAAGCUGUGGAAAGUCCAGAGAUAGACAAAUCAAUUGUAGGUCACCUUGUAAUGGAGAUUAAGGAGAUGAUGAGAGAAAGGGAGCUUGUGAUACGUCUUGUUGGUCGUUUGCAGAAUAGAACUGCAGAUCGGCUUGCCUAUAUGUCGAGAGUGGAGCACAUCACCGAUUUGUGGCUGCAUGUGCCUCCAGCUGCUCUUGUGAGCUAUCUGGCAAGCGAUUGUACAACUAUUCCAUAA
rnacentral:rRNA from 1 species